UAAAAACCUAGUGCCGCCACAGGUCGAGAGAGAGAAGUGGGGGGAAGAAGUGUGCACUACGGCCGGUCAGCGUACUGGGCGUAAUAUGGGGCUCAGGCGCAGUGCCGGGUGAUCUCCGGUGGUUUGUCGCGGCGCCACGAAGCGGGUCAAGCCGGGUCGGCAUCAACCUCGGUGGCGGACAACCCGUCUCGGCGUUGGUCUCUAGUGAGCCCUACUUUCUCCUCCAUGGUAUUCUAGUCACUGACGGGACGUUGUGGGCAAUCCAUGGAGGCAAGGUUGGGCGCGGACUCGGGACCUGGGUGCAACCAGUUAGUUUCGUAGGGAGCAGUGGCACGGCAUGGCGUGUCCGCCGCUAGGAGCGCUGUCGGGCGUGCCCUAGUGUCGAGCUGGGGAAGAUGACUAGUGAGCCAUCGAUUUAGAAGCCAGAGGCCAGGUUUGGAUGUGUGUACUAUUCGGGCGAGAUGUAACUUGGGCGGUUGGAUGGAGAUCGUGUGGUCGAAGCUGCAUACCGGUUCAGUGAUUGAUUUUGAGCCGUAGAUCGUAGAUCCUGUGGCUCGUGUGCCUACCGGGGCUCAGAUCUAAUCUGGGCCACAGAACCUUAAUCGUGCGGCCGAGAUCGUCGUGUACCGCUUUGUAGGUACAUUUUGCUAAAGAGACCCUGCAGUUUACAUGAAUAAACCCGCAGUCCAA
rnacentral:lncRNA from 7 species